rnacentral:rRNA from 1 species
GACAGAGGUCCCGAGCGUUAGGCGGAAUCACUGGGCUUAAAAGCGUGUGUAGGCGGAUGCCUAAGUACCUUGUGAAAUCCCACGGCUCACCCGUGGAACUGCUUGGUAUACUGGGUGUCUUGAGCCACUUAGGGGCUACCGGAACAAAUGGUGGAGCGGUGAAAUGCGUAGAUAUCAUUUGGAACGCCAAUGGUGAAAACAGGUAGCUGGGAGUGUGCUGACGCUGAGACACGAAAGCCAGGGGAGCAAACGGG